UAUUGUGUCCAAAUCUUCAAUAUUUUGUUGUUGUGUAAGGAAUAUGACAGACUCUAGGCACCACUAGUAGGGCUUUGUUUUUUUGUUUGGUUUUGUAAAGCUUAGUAACAUUUGUUAAUGAAAGCUUGUGAUUUUCUGAAAAAGCAAUAUCAAAACAGCCCAAAAAUGAAAAACAAGUAGAAAAUAUAAUAAACAAACAAUAGAGAUUUAUUUGUUUUAGAAGUUUAUGGCUGCAGAUAUAGCUGCAUGCUUGUUAGCUAAGAGGAAUAAUCAGCCAGAAUGGAGCAAUCAGAUGUGUUUCCUACAGUACUAGAAGAGCACAACAAAGGCAGCAGUGAGGAGACAGAAAGGGGGAACGGGAGGAUGCAGUGCCUUAUCUAGCUGGAGAGGAUCUAUGAAAGCUAGACAAGAAGAGUAGCUUCAUAAAACUACAGUAUACAAACUGAGGAGAACAUAUGAAGCUAAGAGUACCACAGAAUAAUAUUUUAUAGAAGUAGAAGAAGAGAAGGACUUUGGAUAUCACGAAUGUUAUUGCUCAGCGGUUCUUAGGUUGACCAGAGCAGAAAUGCACAUAUUUCAGUUGUGCAGUGCAAAUUGGGGUGUUACAAUUCCAAAAGGUGUCAUAGUUGACUGUAACUAGCCUCAAACCAGGUAGA